UGGCAAAGCGGAUAGCCCGACCCAUUAAAUAUUUCUGAAUUGGAUCAAUUGAUCUAAAUCAUAUUCAAAAUAGUAAAAUUUCCAUAGCAAAAAAGCACGCGGAGAAGAAAACCUCAGACCAAGUUUCUUUCCGCCGUCCGUUGCCGGAAAUAACAUGGUACGGUUACAGCCUGAUCCCUUCCUCAAUGAACUCACCAAUAUGUUUGAGCAGACUACAGAAAAGGGCUCUGUGUGGGUUACUUUGAAGCACUGUGAGUGUUCAUCUUUCAAUGCACGUUCUUUUUUGUUUUUACCUUUUUAUACCUUUUCGUAGACAGAUUUUUAACUACUGCAGCUGUUGGAAAUAAAGAGUAGUCUGUUUCUUCCUUUGACUAUCUCCAACUUCUGACAAGUCCAAGGUUAAGAGGAAUAAGAUGAAGACGGCUGGGAAAAGAUUGAAUAUAAGUGCCUCAUUCGAGCUACAGAUGGAAAGAAACGAUUUCAACAAUGGUUGGUCCAAAAGAUCACCAACGAUUCCAGUCGAGUUAUGCAACUAUCUUGAAAGCCCGGAUGACUACUUUGAAAAAGAGGGAGAGGAAGGACAAGCGAAAGGCAGCAGAUUCUGAUAAAAAGCAGGACCAGAAGAUGCAAUCAAAACAACUAAACUGGAUUGCUUGAAUGAGUUUCUUUCAAUUGUUCUUUUUUAUCGUUUAUAUUGUAUGAAUACAUCUCGAGUCAUUUGAUAUUAAGAAAUCUUAACAAUUUUUGAGAGGUUUGAUAAUCGAACUUUGUUGCGGAUUACACAGUAUACACAAUUUGACCAUUGCUUUA